rnacentral:sRNA from 12 species
GUGAGGAGAAAUCAAUAUGACGGAGUCAUAUAUUGGGAUGAUUUCGACGAUUUGCCGUCCAGCGUGAGGGAGGGGGCAAUACAUAUU